rnacentral:rRNA from 1 species
AUUAGAUACCCUGGUAGUCCACGCCGUAAACGGUGGGUGCUAGUUGUGGGCCACAUUCCACGUGGUCCGUGACGAAGUUAACACAUUAAGCACCCCGCCUGGGGAGUACGGUCGCAAGACUAAAACUCAAAGGAAUUGACGGGGGCCCGCACAAGCGGCGGAGCAUGCGGAUUAAUUCGAUGCAACGCGAAGAACCUUACCAAGGCUUGACAUAUAGAGGAAACGUGCAGAAAUGUACGCCCCGCAAGGUCUCUAUACAGGUGGUGCAUGGUUGUCGUCAGCUCGUGUCGUGAGAUGUUGGGUUAAGUCCCGCAACGAGCGCAACCCUCGUUCUGUGUUGCCAGCAUUUAGUUGGGGACUCACAGGAGACUGCCGGGGUUAACUCGGAGGAAGGUGGGGAUGACGUCAAAUCAUCAUGCCCCUUAUGUCUUGGGCUGCACGCAUGCUACAAUGGCCGGUACAGAGGGCUGCAAUACCGUAAGGUGGAGCGAAUCCCAAAAAGCCGGUCUCAGUUCGGAUUGAGGUCUGCAACUCGACCUCAUGAAGUUGGAGUUGCUAGUAAUCGUAGAUCAGCAACGCUACGGUGAAUACGUUCCCGGGUCUUGUACACACCGCCCGUCACACCAUGGGAGCGGGUCUCGCCAGAAGUAGUUAGCCUAACCGCAAGGAGGGCGAUUACCACGGCGGGGUUCGUGACUGGGGUGAAGUCGUAACAAGGUACC